GAAGUCCACUAGGGGUGCCAUUUGGCUGAGAUAAGAGUAAUCUUUAUCCCUUUGAACCUGAUCUGGUUAACACCAGCGUAGGAAAGUGGAGCCGGAUUCGU
rnacentral:ncRNA from 1 species